GAUGAACGCUGGCGGCGUGCCUAAUACAUGCAAGUCGAGCGAACAGACGAGGAGCUUGCUCCUCUGACGUUAGCGGCGGACGGGUGAGUAACACGUGGAUAACCUACCUAUAAGACUGGGAUAACUUCGGGAAACCGGAGCUAAUACCGGAUAAUAUAUUGAACCGCAUGGUUCAAUAGUGAAAGACGGUUUUGCUGUCACUUAUAGAUGGAUCCGCGCCGCAUUAGCUAGUUGGUAAGGUAACGGCUUACCAAGGCAACGAUGCGUAGCCGACCUGAGAGGGGAAUCGGCCACAGUGGGCAUGAGCUAGGGGACAGAGUGCUGCGUGAGGGAGAAGUGGCGAAUAAUGGAAAAUGUGCGGAAGCAUGAAGCAACAAUGGAGCGUGCGUGAGGACGGGCUUCGGGUGGAAAACAGCAGAAGCCCGUGACGAAGAGCGAGCGACGGGAAGGGGUAAAGAAGCACCGGCUAAGGACGUG
rnacentral:rRNA from 1 species